CCUUGAGCUGUGGUGGGCUCCACCCAGUUCGAGCUUCCCGGCUGCUUUGUUUACCUAAGCAAGCCUGGGCAAUGGCGGGCGCCCCUCCCCCAGCCUCGCUGCCGCCUUGCAGUUUGAUCUCAGACUGCUGUGCUAGCAAUCAGCGAGACUCCGUGGGCGUAGGACCCUCCGAGCCAGAGUGUGAUUUUGAAGAAAGGAGGAAAGAUGUGAAAAGUGAUUAGUCAGCCACAUUCAUGGUGUUGAGAAAAGAAUUUGCUUUUCUGGAACAUAGCCUGUGAUAGCAGAACAACACCUGGCAAGAAACAGGUUAUGUUUGGCUGGAGAGUCAUUGGCACUAUCAAGAAAUAUUAAAGUGUAGAUUUGAGAGAGGAGGAGAAAGACCCAAGCAAAAUUGAAAACCAGGUGGGACCCAGACAGCAGCAAAGCAAUGGAAGCAUGUAUUUUGGUCAAUAUAGAGUUAAUACACAAUUUUGCCCCUCUUCUUCUGAUCAUGGGACUCAUAUUACCAGUCUUCACAUUUCCUUUAAAUUCAGGAAUCAGGAAGAAUUUCCAGAGUUUGCAGAUAGGGACACAUUUGCUGCUUCCAUUCUAAACAUAAGUUAUAAGACAUUUUCAACUGGAUUCCAACUUUAAUAUGUCACAAACAUAAAAAAGAAAGCUAUUUCCUGGACUUUUCUUCGUUAGAAAUUAAUAGAUUGUCAAUUGGCAUAGGGAAAAGAUUAUCAACAGAUGCCAACCCCAAGUUAACAGAAAUGCUAAAAUUAUAAGACAAAGACUUCAAAAUAGCUAUUUUAAUUUUGCUUAGUGAGGUAAAUGCAAACAUGCUCACUAUGAA
rnacentral:lncRNA from 1 species